rnacentral:rRNA from 1 species
UACGGAGGGAGCUAGCGUUGUUCGGAAUUACUGGGCGUAAAGCGCACGUAGGCGGCUUUGUAAGUUAGAGGUGAAAGCCCGGGGCUCAACCCCGGAAUUGCCUUUAAGACUGCAUCGCUUGAAUCCGGGAGAGGUGAGUGGAAUUCCGAGUGUAGAGGUGAAAUUCGUAGAUAUUCGGAAGAACACCAGUGGCGAAGGCGGCUCACUGGACCGGUAUUGACGCUGAGGGUGCGAAAGCGUGGGGGAGCAAAACAGG